rnacentral:rRNA from 1 species
AUUGAACGCUGGCGGCAGGCCUAACACAUGCAAGUCGAGCGAGCGGCGGACGGGUGAGUAAUGUCUGGGAAACUGCCUGAUGGAGGGGGAUAACUACUGGAAACGGUAGCUAAUACCGCAUACCAUCAGAUGUGCCCAGAUGGGAUUAGCUAGUAGGUGGGGUAACGGCUCACCUAGGCGACGAUCCCUAGCUGGUCUGAGAGGGUGACCCGCCAACAUGGGAAUGGGGAAAGGGUCAGAAUCCCAAGGGAGGCAGCAGUGGGGAAUAUUGCACAAUGGGCGCAAGCCUGAUGCAGCCAUGCCGCGUGUGUGAAGAAGGCCUUCGGGUUGUAAAGCACUUUCAGCGGGGAGGCGUUACCCGCAGAAGAAGCACCGGCUAACUCCGUGCCAGCAGCCGCGGUAAUUC